CCGAAAAAAAAGCUAUUCUCUCUCACCUCAAUCCCAAAAACAGCCGCAGACCUCAUUAUUCAUCCUUCUUCCCCCAAGACAUACAACACCAGCCGCACAGCCCAGAUCCAUUUUUCUCUUUCUUCUCACUCACCUGCCGCAACCCCAUUUCAGCCUUCCUUCUUCUCUCUAACAUUUCUCUCUAACACCGAACCACCCACCUCCAACCCAUUUUCUAUAUUUUCUUCACUAUUCCACCACAAAACUUCAUCAAUUCCACAAGAUUCAAAUAGGAGCCCAAGCAUCAAGAGCUUCAUAAACAUCAAAUUUGGGUAAAAGUGGGAGCCAUAAAUCAAGGCUAGUCAUAAUUGCUCUAUAGCAAUUUGUGGCUUGUUCUUGUUACUCUCUACUUCUCUUCACUUUUUUCUCUUUCAAUUAUGUAUUUUGAUGUUAGUUUGGUGAUGGGUAGUGAGUAGUUUUGUUGUUGGGGGCUAGGGUUGUGUGCCCUAGUCCAAAUCUUGUGUAAAAGAUGCUUAUUUUAAUGUAAUGAUGCAAUUUUCAUAUGAUGGAUGCUUAUAUCUAUUUUUGUUGGGUUAAAAUGCAUGUUUAGGGGCCUAGUCAACUCUAGGGUGUGUAUUUUGAGCAUGUCUAGGAUGGAGUUAGAGGCUUGACCCCCCUCUAAUUCCUAAGCUAGAAACCUUCAAUUUUGUAUUCGAGGGGUUAUAAGCAUGGUGAUUUACACCCGUUGCGUGAAUGCGCGGGCGGGUCGCUUACACUACUAAAAAAAACUUCAAUUGCUUCGCCUUUUUACUUCGGCGACAGUUGCCGUCGCAAUUGACACCCUAUUGCUACGGAAAAUGUUCCGUCGCGAUUAAGGCUUAUCAUUUGCGACGGAAAAUCUUUGCCGUAGUAAAUUUGUAGUCAAUUGCGACGCCGUUUCCUCUUGCCGUCGCAAAACUUAUUUAUAUAUGUACUUUACAAAAAAAAAAAAAAAAAAAAAAUUACGGAAAGAAAGCCGUGGCAACACAUAAACGUCACCGUAUUACUCUGGCGGUAACCCAAAUAAUUUUCCCUCCGUUUUUUCUUUUGUUUUUUUGGCCAAAUGUCCUACUAACAAAACACUCAGCCCUAAUUCUUUUUCCCUCUUUUUCCCAAGGUCUCAAACAUCACCGCGCUCUUUCUCACUCUCGCCCAAACAUCACCCUCUUUCUGAGCUCCGGAACCUCACCGUUCCCGUCGUUCUAAACAUUCUGAUAACCGAAUCUUCUUCUUACCAUCAGCUUACAGCUCCUCGAACGGGAACCUACCGAGGUAUUUGGGCAAUGGCGUGCAGGCCUACUUCUCCUAUCGAGUAAUCAUCAAGCAGCAGGGUCUCUAGUUUUAAAUCGGUUUCUUUUUCCAUUACUAGGAAUCGCUUCCCAUCUCUGACUUCAAGACCUGGACUCUUUCAAGUUUCCUAUUCGUUUAAAACAUCCAUUAGUUAAAAAGGCUGCUCAUCUUCAAGUCAGCAGUGAAGAAUUUGGAAUUAAUUUUGGCAAUCCAAAGCCAAGAGCUUGAUAUUACCAGAAAACUUGCAUCUCACUAUGGAUAAGAGUUGGAUAAACUUAGGCAACAGAUGGUCAAAGAGGGUAGUGUUAAAGAUCGAAUUUUCCACUCUUUGAUGGGAGAUGAUGGUCAUGGGUAUUGUCGUACUUUUGGAGCUGGUGUGCCUCGUAAUCUAGUAUAUCCAAAGGAAUCAAAUAUAUCUCAAAGCACAGAUGAUCUCGUACAAAAAAUCACUGAACAAGUGCGUCAAGAGUUUCAACUGCAGCUUCAGCAACUACAUGCUCGAAUUGAUUUUCUGCAGAAUAAGGACAGUAGCACAUAGUCUCCUAAACAGGUUGCUGAUGCAACUAGCAGGCAUGAAAUUUUGAGGGAGUCUAUAGGAGAUGAAAUAACUCCGAAUGCAAAUAGUGACCAGCCAUUGUUGGAGCAGAAUUCUCCAGUAACAUCCCCUUCACAAAAUGGAUCUGAAAGGGUUCUCAUGGCAAAAAGAGCAAAGCAAAUGAAAGCAAGUGCAAAGCUCACAAAAUGACAAAGUAAAAUGAUGCACUUGUGAUUGUUGUUUUAUUUUAAGAGUGCUUAUUAUAAUGUUCAAUACUUACAAAUGACAUUAUUUUCACUUUAGUAUUUGUAUUUGAAUAUGGUACAAUGAGUCAAUGGAUAUGUUUAAGUAUAUUAUUCAUGAAUUAAUGUUAUUUUGAUUUAAUAGA